rnacentral:rRNA from 1 species
AGAGUUUGAUCAUGGCUCAGAAUCAACGCUGGCGGCGCGCCUAACACAUGCAAGUCGAACGAGAAAGUGGAGCAAUCCAUGAGUACAGUGGCGUACGGGUGAGUAACACGUGGGUAAUCUACCUCUUAGUGAGGAAUAACCCUGGGAAACCGGGGCUAAUACCGCAUAAGCUCGAGAGAGGAAAGCAGCAAUGCGCUGAGAGAGGAGCCCGCGGCCGAUUGGCUAGUUGGCAGGGUAAAAGCCUACCAAGGCAGAGAUCGGUAGCCGGCCUGAGAGGGCACACGGCCACACUGGCACUGAAACACGGGCCAGACUCCUACGGGAGGCAGCAGUGGGGAAUCUUGCACAAUGGGGGAAACCCUGAUGCAGCGACGCCGCGUGAGCGAUGAAGCCCUUCGGGGUGUAAAGCUCUUUCGGCAGGGAAGAUGAUGACGGUACCUGCAGAAGCAGCUGCGGCUAACUACGUGCCAGCAGCCGCGGUAAUACGUAGGCGGCGAGCGUUGUUCGGAGUUACUGGGCGUAAAGGGUGUGUAGGCGGUUGCUUAAGUUUGGUGUGAAAUCUCCCGGCUUAACCGGGAGGGUGCGCCGAAUACUGAGUGACUUCGAGUGCGGGAGAGGAAAGUGGAAUUCCUGGUGUAGCGGUGAAAUGCGUAGAUAUCAGGAGGAACACCGGUGGUGUAGACGGCUUUCUGGACCGUAACUGACGCUGAGACACGAAAGCGUGGGUAGCAAACAGGAUUAGAUACCCUAGUAGUCC